rnacentral:rRNA from 1 species
CCAGACUCCUACGGGAGGCAGCAGUGGGGAAUAUUGCACAAUGGGGGAAACCCUGAUGCAGCGACGCCGCGUGAGUGAAGAAGUAUUUCGGUAUGUAAAGCUCUAUCAGCAGGGAAGAAAAUGACGGUACCUGAUUAAGAAGCCCCAGCUAACUACGUGCCAGCAGCCGCGGUAAUACGUAGGGGGCAAGCGUUAUCCGGAUUUACUGGGUGUAAAGGGAGCGUAGACGGCAUAGCAAGUCUGAAGUGAAAGCCCGAGGCUCAACCAUGGGACUGCUUUGGAAACUGUUAAGCUAGAGUGCUGGAGAGGUAAGCGGAAUUCCUAGUGUAGCGGUGAAAUGCGUAGAUAUUAGGAAGAACACCAGUGGCGAAGGCGGCUUACUGGACAGUAACUGACGUUGAGGCUCGAAAGCGUGGGGAGCAAACAGGAUUAGAUACCCCUGUACC